GGUUGCUCUAAAGAAUACACACACAUUUAUAAAGCACCAUAAGAUCUCUUAGUGAUUGGCAUAAUAAAAAGAAGAUAAUUAUUUCAACAAUUAAUCCAGCUAUUCUAAAUAAAGCAGAUUUUGGCAUUGUGAAAAGCACUAAAAUGUGCAACAAUUUAAGGGUAAGGAAGGAACCCUUUCAUUUUAAGGAUAAUGUUAAUAAAAGUUAAAACGAGUCAUUCUCUAACUCAUUUCUGAGUGACUCAUGCUCUUGGCAAAUUAAUUAUCCAAGAUAAAUGACUCAGAAGUAGAUGCUGUAGUUUUAUUAUUGUUUUAAUCAGAUGGCUAUUGCUGUUACACAUAAACAUGAGGCUUGAUUUUAUGUAUAACAAAUGUUGCUAUACCCUGCAAAUUACCCCUGAGUUCUUUCUUGAGGAUGUGUUAUACAUGUCAAAUUUUUUUAUCUGACUCUUUUGUUCCAGUUUUAGGUGGAUGGUGUAGCUAGGUACUGGGGAUCUGAAGCAGCCAUGGUCAUCAGGAAACUCCACAGUGAACUUAGACAAGGAAGAUUUAAUGUGUUUGCAAGGUAGUAUCAUAAUGUAGGGUUGAUCUGAUGAAACCACAACUAGUGCCAAUGCCUGCCUAUGAUGGGAAGAGAACCCAGAUCACAAACUUGGGAUUUCUAGCCUCUUACCAGGCAAGUUUGUUGCUCAUCUUCCCCUUUCCCCUCCAGUUUGCUUUGUUGCUUCCUCUGUAUCAUUAACUCACAUCAAAGGUCAGUGUCACUGGUUGCUGGGAAUGUAGUUCAUUUGGCUAUACAUGCACUCUUCCCUGAGGAAGUCAGAUGUUACCUCCAUGUUGAACAUUCAUCAUGCAAUGAAAAUAUGGAACACAAUUUUAUUGUAAUAGUUCUGAAUGAUUUUCAGUUGAAGUAAGGAAGAGGAAAGUCUGGCACAUUUUAGUGAGAUGUUCAUGUUUCUUAAGUAUGAUUUGUAAAUUGGGAGUUGAAGUAACAUUAGAAAUUAUUAAUUUUUCAUUGUACAUACAUCAACAUCCUUACCCUUAAAAAGCAGGCUACUUACUAGUAUAGCUGAAAUUAAUUCUAGUACUGUGACAGGAGAAUGUCUUAAGAAAACUGCAUUGAGUAGUAGUUUUUAUUCUCUUUAUUUUGUUCAGCUGUAAAUAUAGUAGACAACAGAUGAAACUACUGUUGACAUGGAGAAUAACACUGUCAUGGUUUAAAUCACAAAUUAUGUCAGACAAGGUCUUCAAACAGCGUGUUUUGAGGUCAGUAACCUGUGUGCCUAGAACCUUGAUCACGGUGGUAACAGCCAAAUGACACAACUUAUGUGGAUGUACCUGCAAAGAUCAGUAGCUUUUCACUGAAUUUUACAAGCAGAACAGCAAAAUGACAGUGAAAUGAAAAUGUACGUUUCCAAGAGGCUCAAGGAGCUUCAGCAAAGGAAGCUAAUACUGAUGAGUUAAUUUGCUGAAACUGCAGGCAAGGGGUUUGUUUGUUUGUUUGCUUUUUAAACCUAAAUGGAUCCUGAUUAUUAUAAGCAGCAUGAAGGAGGAGUCUUUUCAGGGCCCUGACACAUCAAAUGGAAGACAGCAUAUUCUAUCUGGUGAAAUUUGGGAUGAAAGACAGCAACUGCAAUCUCUAACCUCAUCUCAGAACUGCCCGAGGAUAACUGCAGAAACCACUUUGGCCACUGCAAAAUCUGGCCACAGGGAUUGGCAGGCUGGGAAAAAUUUGAAUAAAAUCUAGUGUGAUUGUCCUGUAAUAUAGAAACAGGAUAACCAUAGAAGUAACCUGAAUGGAAAUAAAAACAGGAACGGCUGAGUGCCAGCAACCCCUUGAACAUAAGUCUGAAGGCAGCUGUGCCAGAAGUCUGUUUCAUUACACUUUUGCAUUGUGUAGUACAGUUUAUGUAAUUUGAGAUGUGUAGAUGCUUCUCAUUACCACUUCUCUCCAAAAUGUGACCAAAGCUUUGUAGCUGCCUGGCUUUGAAUUAGAGUAACACUCCUGGUGCUCUGUAAUAUCUGUUUGGUUCUUGGGUGAUGGAUAUACAUGUGGACUGCACCUGUUUGAUGUUUUUUGGGUUUUUUUGCUUGUCCUCAGACCAGGAAUAUGUGAGCCCCAUGGAAUGAGGGAGGAAGA